rfam:Brassica napus, WGS project CCCW01000000 data, contig: 19858
AAUCCAUGGUGAAGAUAUUCUCUCCGAUAGUCAUUGAAGCGCUCCCAUGUGUCGCAGAAAGGCUCAUCAGUGAGCUGUCUGAAGGAGGUGAUCUUAUUCCUCAAUGAAGCU